rnacentral:rRNA from 1 species
CCUACGGGCGGCAGCAGUGAGGAAUAUUGGUCAAUGGACGCGAGCCUGAACCAGCCAAGUCGCGUGAGGGAUGACGGCCCUAUGGGUUGUAAACCUCUUUUAUCGGGGAACAAAAGGCUCCACGUGUGGCAUUCUGUGUGUACCAGAUGAAUAAGCAUCGGCUAACUCCGUGCCAGCAGCCGCGGUAAUACGGAGGAUGCGAGCGUUAUCCGGAUUUAUUUGGUUUAAAGGGUGCGUAGGCGGAUAGUUAAGUCAGUUGUGAAAUUUGCGGGCUCAACCGUCACAUUGCAGUUGAAACUGGCAGUCGUGAGUGGAGUAGAGGUAGGCGGAAUGCGUGGUGUAGCGGUGAAAUGCAUAGAGAUCACACAGAACACCGAUUGCGAAGGCAGCUUACCAAACUACGACUGACGUUGAGGCACGAAAGUGUGGGGAUCAAACAGGAUUAGAUACCCGUGUAGUC